GGUUGACAGGCCCGUCUUCCCCCCAGAUGAAACAGAUGAAACAAGAUGAAACGAGAUGAAACGAGAUGAAACAAGAUGAAACAAGAUGAAACGCCAAUGUACGGGCGCAGAUGGGGCCGAGAUGAAACGAAAUGAAACAAAAUGAAACAAGAUGAAACAAGAUGAAACAAGAUGAAACCAAAUGAAACUCGAAGUACGGGCGUAGAUGGGCCGCGAAUGAAACAAGAUGAAACAAGAUGAAACAAGAUGAAACAAUGUACGGGCGGAGAUGGGCCGCGCGCAGUGCACCCGGCGUGACGUGCACGAGCGAAAAGAACUGAAUUAAUCCAAUCAUUGAAAUAAUUUUGUUUGCAGAGGCAAUUCGCGCAAGGGAGAUAGGAAUUUGAUGGCUUGCGAGUGACAGCACGAGCCGAAUUUAUUGCCCGUGGAAGUACCCACGAUAGGAAUACACUGUUGGGAACAUGGUGGCGCCGCUGACGGUACCUAUGUAAGUGGAAUUACUUUAUUGGAAGUACCCACGACGGGGAAAAUAGUCUCUCUAGUAUUGUCGGUGAAUGGUGAUGGUGGUGGUGGCGAUGGCUACUUUCCUCUGCUCAGAGAGAACCCCUGCAUGUCCUUCGUCGUGAUGCGAAAGAGCAGUGGAUGCAGAAAAUGUCUCUACCUGCCAGGAUGGUAUAAGAGCACGAACUGAAUCACCUGUUGGUGCAGAAGGCUUGGAGGACUGCUUUUGAAACAGUUGUUCAAAUUUCCUGCACCUCUUCGUAGCCGUUGUCUGAUUGCUGCAUUCUGGGGAGACUGAAGUUAAGAAGCCCUCACCGAAACCAACACUACGUUGCUGUGUUGUUUUCUUCUAAGGUCGGGCACAGUAAAGGAGACGACUCUGUAUCAAGGCACUACCCAGAGGGAGGAUGUUGGCCUUCUCCUGAUGGGAAAAUGUCUUCUUUCUCAUGGCGUGGCCAGGACUGCACUGACCCUACCAUCCACUCUACCUCUCCGGAAAGGGACUUGACAACCAGUCAAGAUGGAUGUGCAGAGAUAUACCAGCGCUUCUAGCAUUAACUGCCAGUUUGCACUGACGCAGCAAGACUCCCCAACAGUCAAAAAGAAUAAUAUAGACGUGCAGAAAAUGUAGGAGAGCGAUGACAUCAGAAGGACACUCUCAGGUUCAGGGUACCUGUACUGCCCCAAUAAAGUGGGUCAGAUCCCAAAACGAGGUUGGCCGAAGCAAAAAAAUAGAAGAGCCUGCCUUGAAUCGAAUAUGAGGAAGAAGAAGAAGAAGACAAAGAAAGAGAAAGAGUAGGAAUUUGUUUGUGUAAACUUUGUUUCCUCUGUCUAGGCCAUCGCAUUAUAGCAGCCAACAGUGUGUGUGUGUGUGUGUGUGUGUGUGUGUGUGUGUGUGUGUGUGUGUGUGUGUGUGUGUGUGUGUGCGCGUAUGUGUGUGUGUGUGUUUGCGUUUGUGUGCACACGCUUGUGUGUGCGUAUGUGUUUGCAUGUGCGUAUAUUCUGCUCAUCUUGACUUAAAUUUCCACAUCUGGGCAUAUUGUGUUCUGUAUGUGAAUUUAUCUUCAUUAACUUGUGCGCUACGUUCCUUUCUUCACGUUACGGCACUUUAGUAUUGUUUUACUUGAACAUCAUACUCUCGCCCAACUUUGUUUCACCAACAAAGGUUUAUUUUCUAAUUGAUUGUGUAUGAGUUUCAUACCACUGUCAGGGGCGUCGGAAGGUAUUUUAGUGUGGUACGGUCAGCCAUCUGAAGUACAAUUGACUCGUGGGGGAGUGGUGGCUGAGCCGAAAAUUUUGGAAUUUUAGAUCCCAGAUCAGUGUAUUUUGUUGAUUCACGGGGUAUCUGGGGCAAAAAGUGGUACGGUCAAUACUGUAGUGACCGUACCGUGUGCGACGCCCCUGACUGUUGGAAUCCACCAGCUGUGUUUCCUUGAGGGGCGUAUCCUUACCUGGGAUGUGUUUUCUCAUUCCCGGCAGCAACAAUAUGUAUAUAAUUUAAGAAUAGAAUUAGAUGUACAGGAGAGUGCCGAUUAUCCCCACCCCUCGGGACGCGGGCUGUCUCCAGAGGGUUCAGAUGAGAAGAAUGUUCGGAUAAGAGAGUAGUCACACAUCAAUCCAAAUCAUGCAUAUUCCAGCAUGUUUUCAUCAUUUUCAUUCUCUUCAGCAGUGCAAUAGGAACUAGGUGCACUCAAGCUCCUCUAAAUUAAUGACACUAUUAUUACACAUUUUGACUCAAACCUGUUGUAAUACAUCUUGUGAAUCGCUUCAAUGGUGCCCUGAGCGACGAAAAUCAACAACUUGAAACUCAUCUUCUACCCCUCAAUUAAAUGCAAGCAAUUAUUUUGGAUAAUUAAUCAUUUGGAUAGUUGAUAUUAGGAUAAUCGGCACAUUGUGUGUGAUGGGGGGGGGGGGGGAGAGGAAGAGGAGGAGGCUGCGAGAGGCCGUGGUGGACGUGUACUUGUGCAGAGCCUGGAAAAAGCCUCACUUUAGAUGUAUGCACAUUCAAACGGUGGAUGCUUCCCGCCAUCCUUUUCCCCCUCUUUUUCCUUUUCCCGCCAUUCUUUACCCCCUCUUUUUCAAUUUCCCGCUCUUCUUUUCCCCCUCUUUUUCCCCCUUUUUCUCCCCUUUUCCCCCUUUUCUGCGAGAAGAUUAGCCCCCUCC